rnacentral:tRNA from 1 species
UGCGGGUUAGAGCAGUGGAAGCUCGCUUGCCUCAUAAGCAAGAGGUCGGAAGUUCGAAUCUUCCACCCGCAA